UACGUAGGGAGCGAGCGUUGUCCGGAUUUAUUGGGCGUAAAGAGCUCGUAGGCGGUUUGGUAAGUCGGGUGUGAAAGCUCCGGGCUCAACUCGGAGAGGUCACUCGAUACUGCCAUGACUGGAGUCCGGUAGGGGGGUGUGGAAUUCCCGGUGUAGUGGUGAAAUGCGUAGAUAUCGGGAGGAACACCAGUGGCGAAGGCGGCCACU
rnacentral:rRNA from 1 species